rnacentral:snRNA from 1 species
GUGCCUGGCUCCCUGUAUGCCA